rnacentral:lncRNA from 1 species
GUGCACAUCCCUUUCAACAUCGUGGUGACAGAAUCCGUUCCGCUCUUGUUCCUCACUCCACCUCAUAAGCUCUAGCGACCUCACCGAUCAUCCAUGUGUGUGCCUCCUUGCGAUAACCCCAUCCUUUAGUCGCCUUGUUGCUCUGAAUCCGACAUCCCAUGCUAGCAAAUACAUCACAACAAAGGACUGGAUAAACAGAGUUCUUUAAUGUUACAUAGCAGCUCAUACUUCAUUUGACAAAGAUACAAAUAUAUAAGAUUUGUAAACCAGCAAAUUGGAAUCGAACGCAAAUUGCACAUAACUGAAGGAGAAGGUACCAAAAACAACAUUGUUGUCAUAUAAUAGUUGCAAGCCUUCAUUUUUACAGAGUAGAUUGAUUAUUGACAGGUUUAAUUAUGUUGACCAAAAAUAUAAGUUAGUAUAGAGUCUGGUAUUGCACAUCAAUGGAUCAAAUGCUUUUUGUUAUGUCUCAUACGAUGAACAGUUUGGAAAAAAUGGAAGACUUGAAAGUUUUCUAUUUAGUAUUUACAACUACUAUAAUAAUGCACUUCCUCCAUCCCAAAAUAAGUGUCUCAACUUUAGUACAAAGUCGAGACACUUAUUUUGGGACGGAGGGCAUAGCUAAAAAGAAUAUACGUCUAGUUCUAAUAUUAAUAUUUUUAUAUAGCUAGCAGAAUACCUUUGUGCUAUGUGAUUUAAAACAAAAGAUAUCAGAUUAUUUAAAAAAAACAUCUACAUCACCUUCAUGAUGCCUUUUCAAUAUAAACUACACAAAUUGUUUCAACUCGUAACAAAUGUAAUGUGCUCUUCAAGGUGAAAAAAAUAUAAGAUGUACGUACUUAUUCCUUAUAUUGUAGCACUUGUUUGUUAUUCUGAAAGAGUUGUUCAUUCCCUUCCCAAAAUACUUAGCGGACAUCCAUGUAUAAUACACAUGGUUGUCUUAAGAGAGUACUGAAGUUGGUUUUUUGUUAUCCUCCAAAAGAUAGAGUGCAUUGCACACUGUACUUACCUUCAGGGAGAAAAUAAAUGAAUAGAGAAGCCAUCUCCUCCAGCCUGGAGAUCUUCUCAAGCACAACCUCAUACUUCUCCUGCAAAACAGAUUCAUAGUUCAAACAUCUAGCUUCGUUAUGCAUGCAACUACUCGGUACAAAAAUGAUAAUUGAGCCUGAGAAGUCCGCUCCAAUUUCAGUACCUUCAGGAACAACACUUCCACGUCCAGCUAGUUGCUGCCUCGGUUCACUCCAUACAAUGAUAAAUGAUAAACUUGUGUCACAUUUACUACAGAUUAGAAAUCAGAUAAUGCAAUAAAACAUUCACAUGAAGGAAACCAUUAGUAAAUCAAAAUACAAACAUAUGUGCACAUCUCAUUUUUCUGAGUUAUGAUAAUAUCUCAGAUUGAUAGUCUUGUAAGAAUAGCAGUUGCCAUCAAGCAUCAAGUAAACAAUUGUGAACAAGUAUCAAAGAGCAAGAUUAACAUGUACUCCCUCCGUCCCAUAAUAUAAGAACGUUUUUGACAUUAGUGUAGUGUUAAAAACGUUCUUAUAUUUUGGGACAGGGGGAGUAGCAGACAAAUUCAGCUGCAUUACUUGAUUUAACAACAUUCCAAGGCAUCAAUACAAUAGCAACUCUGUUUGACAGUACAAGCUUCAGUGAAUAAACACAACAAAAGAUCAAUUUGCAAGCACCAUACCGAAUAAUAAGGUCACCAGGAAAGUAACCGUUCCUGGUUCCCCGUGGUAUAGCGCUUAGGCCACUUCAUAGCAUAGACAAAGCAAGAUAUUGAUUUGCAUCACCUAAAUAAUAGUAGUAUAAAACAAUCAAUAAACACAUAUCCUUCUUAUUAUCAAUCAAAAGUACUUGAAACUAAAAUUACAGAAGAACAUUUAUCUCCUAAGAGCAUGACCUAACCACAUGCUGAAUCAAAUUGUCAUAAUUUUUGGAAGUUUCAUCAUUUCCCAAACUUGUUAUUUCUUCCUCUCUGUCUCAAAACUAUCAUAAAUCCAUAUCUUUGAUCUAAAAUGGUCUACUUUCUUCAUAAAGCAAUCAACCAAGACAAGUACUACCCUAUGACUAAAUAUUAAGACAUUUUUGUUGUUCAAAUUGAACUACAAAAACUUCUAAUAUUUAGUUACAGAGGGAGUAUCUUUUAAGCAUGAGUAUAGAUAAGAUAUCAAAAGCUCUGUAGGAGAACAAACAUGGGAAUGUUUCGAGAAUUAGCAAGACUAAACAUCAAAUAUGAAUUGUGUGCAACUUGUAGAUCUUGUAAAGAGUAUAUAACAUCCAAAUGAAAAAUCAAAAUUACUACGUUGUGCAUCAUGACUAUUGAGAAAGAAAACAAAUAUGUGGUCUAAACAAUCCAGAAGAUUUCUCUGAGCCUACAAAAUUUACUUUGUUGCAAUACAAACGUAAAGAAUGGCGCGAUAAGCAAAAAAAAUAGCGGCACAAGUAAUCCGUGAAUAGGUGGUAUUUAGAUCGUUUAAUAGACUCAUUAUGUGAGUAUUCAUACUAAAUAAAAAUCAAUACCAGAACUAAAUCAUAGUAAAUAGAUCUGGAGUAUUUUCUCUGAAAAGGGCAUUCUAUUGGACCAUGAGAGAGACUCACAACAAUAGAACUGCAGCUACAACUGAUAACAGAGCAGCAUUUUUAUACACGGUCCGAAGAACAGUAAGAUUCACUCACAUGAACCCUAGAUCGAUACUACUGAAUUACGGAAUUUAUAAGCGAACGACAGCUCGUGUUUACCUUGUUCAUCGAUGGCACUGCAGACUGGAUUUUCCCCUUUCCUGUCGUCAGCAUGGUGGAGAAGAGUUCCCUCCGUGCACUGAUUGAUAUUGAGUCAUCAGUUGCUUUCAAAUCACAAAUAACUACAUCAAACAAAGAUGAAUUUAGUUAAAGGAUGCCUAUCCGGCAUACAAUGAAAUGUUGAUUCGACAACGCAAAGAGCAAUAAAUAUUGAUUGGUGCAAGUUUGAAGAAAAUAAAUCUAAAUCAAGUCAUACUUGAAUCUUAGCAAAGCAAAUGGUCAAAUAAUAUACGUAUGAGUGGUAGAAGAACAUCAAUGGCCCAUAGCAGAUUCGCGAAACAAAAAACAGGAUCCAGAACGUCCAAGGCAAGGCCUAUAAAAAGAAUAUGCUACACACAAGAAGAUGUACUCUUUGAAAUGUAGCUAUAUGAAAGUAUCACUUUGAUAGCAAAGUACCAGGAAAACAACAAAGACAAAGAAGGACCGCUUCUUUGAAACCAGCUAGACCUGAAAAUCUCCCCCCACAUGAUGUGAGCAGCGCCAACAAGCAAAUCAACAGCUCACUUGUAAGGCAUAGAAGAAACACACAAAAAGAAAAGGGUUUUUAUCAGUUUUGCCCUCGGUUGUACUACACUACUCAGUUUUGCCACUAAAAAGUUUCAUUGCUCAAAAAAUGCCACUGUUCCGUUAGACAUGUGCUCAAAAAAGUCAUUUUUCACUGUUAACAUCAUGUCAAAGGACGUUGACCGAAGGUAGAUGACGAAAAUACCCCUAUCCCGCUUGUGAACUAUCCUCUCUUUGUUUGAACUGUGGGCCCACCUAUAAGGUGAGCAUGAAAAGAGAAGACAAAAACUGGUGGCAGGGGGUUUCGAACCCAACACCACGACCUAGACAGGCGCAAGUGCUAACCAGCUGAGCUAAGGGAAAGCUUUGGGGUAGAAGGAAAUAUAUGUCAUAUAUCCUUUAGGUCUAUAAUAUUCAAACAGAGCAGUAUAUGUUAUCGUUUCUUGUUGCUCGCUACUCCAUUUCUCCAGCUAGCUAAUUCAUGCAUCACACACUAAUUGACAACAAUAACAAAUACAAUAGCAGGAGCACAUGAUUUUCUAAAUUUCUUUGCCUGCCCAUUUUUGUGAAAACAAGACAAACGCAACAAGGUUUACAAACUUCACAUGUGCAGCCUUUUUUACUUCUAGUAUCCUUAUCCAUCCUGGCCAUCAGAACAUGUGUACCAAAUUGCACGCGAGUAUCAAUAAGGCACCAGUCAGCUACUACAAAUUCUAUACAAAAAAUUCCAUCUCUACAAGCUACUAUGAGCCACACACGCACCACACUAAGAAUUAGCAUACUCACUUCAAGGCAUCACGGGAGGUGGCGGAGCUGCCGAGUCAGGCGGGAGAAGCGCCGGAGCUGCCUGCCUUGAGUGGCGGUGCUGGGUGGGAGGCAGCGCCGAAGCCGUGACGGGGUGGUGCUGGGCGGGUAAUGCGGCGGCUGCGGCGAGUGGAGGGCGCCGGAGCUGGGCGGGCAGCCUGGCGACCGGUGGUUGCAGUUGAGGAUUGGCAGGCGGUGGCUAGGGAUUGUGGUUCCGCCUAGGGAAACUGAUACGAGCAGGCUAGGUAUUGGAUAAGGCUAAGUACAUAUGUUUUCUAGCAAAUCCUUCGAUUAGGUGUGGUGCUUAGCUUGCCCGCUCACCACACUCAGGUCCCUAGUUCGAUCCACCUCGUCGCUCUUUUUCCUUGUAAUUUCUUUUCCUAGUCCUUGACAAGUUGGGCCCACACUAUGGAGAGAGAUCUUGCAAAUGAGACCAGGGACAUUAUAGUCAUACAACAUGGUCAACAUCCAUUGACCUGAUGGUAACGGUGAAAAAAUGGCUUUUUUGAGCACGCGCCUAACGGCACAGUGGCAUUUUUGAGCAGUGAAAACAUUUAAUGGCAAAACUGAGUAGUGUAGUACAACCGAUGGCAAAAUUGAUAAAAACCCAAGAGAAAAAUAGGCCCCACCAGAAUCCAUAGAAGUGACAAAAAACCAUGAUUCCAUCUCAUAGUCGACCCAGCUAAGCAAGAACAAAAAUACAAGCAAACAGUAAUAUACUCUUUGAUGCCAGGCCUCUACCAACAAGAGCGCAAGCAAGCAAAUGGUUGGAGAACUGAGAAGACAAGAAGAAAAGGGAUCGACCUGCAGAACGAUGACCGACGUAGCAGGACGAAUCGACCAGAAGCACGAGCACCCGCAGACCGCAGUGGACGAACCUGCAAGGGAAAAAGAGAAAAUCAAGGAUGAGCUCCAGGCAACCACGACUGGGAAGGUCAGGGAAAAAACACGUACAGAUCGAGGGCCGCAGCAACAGAUCCGGCGCACAGAGAACAAGAACAGAGGAUCUCCAACAAAUACGAUCCAAAAUUAGUUAACAGGAACACUAUUUUUUUGAAUAUUUGUUAGUAGCAAACGUGAAAUGAACAAAAAAAUCAAAUGGCUAAUAAACCAACCAAUCGUUCUGAAGCUAGUUCAGUAGGAAAGAACAUUUAGCAAACUAAGAUGAAGCUUUUUAAAAGUCCGGUGAGCAUGCAAUGGGCAGCACUGGAUAAAUCAUUAACUCUAAACAAAAAGGAUGAAAGAACAGAGAAAAGGUCAAUUCACAUGGGAUAAAUCAUUAAUUCUAAACACUACCAUCUAAUUUGGAGGGCCUCUGCUUUCAUACAUAGCUGAUUCAGGAGGACAUGCGAAUCAAAAGUAGUCAACCUCACAUAGAAGAUAGAACUGCCCUUCCCCUGAGUCCCCGAUUACUACUGGACCAUGUACUGCUAAAAGCACAAGGCCAAAAAAUAGAAGAAAUAAUCGGAGGACACAUAAACU